GGCAAGAUGGCCGAGUUGGUCUAUGGCGCACGGUUCAGGUCUACCUGAUCCAAACUUCCGUGUCUCGAAAGGGGCGUGGGUUCGAAUCCCACUCUUGUCA
rfam:Penicillium subrubescens strain CBS 132785 PENSTBscaffold_665, whole genome shotgun sequence.